rnacentral:tRNA from 1 species
UGGAUCAAAGCCAGUUGACUAGGGUAUUUAGCUGUUAACUAAAUUUUUAUGGGUUUAAAUCCCAUUGGUCUAG